CUGGUAACCAUUUUCUUCUCAAUUUCUCCAUAGGUAUUGCUCAAAGCCAGCCAUACCCAGUUUAUCUUCUUCUAUUCUUAAAUGUCCACAAAAUGAAGAUGUUGCAUCGCGUCGAGCUGAAGAGGCCAAGGAACAACGACGGCGUGAUAGAAAUCUACGACGUCGCACAAGAUAUGCACAAAUGUCACCUGAAAGGAAACAAUCAUUUUUGCUGAAACUGCAAGCUAAGAGAGCUGAAUGAAAAAAGCGGCGACUUAAUCCUCAUUCAAGUAAUACAUUGUCCUUAAUGAAAACUGGUACUCAAGCUCAAAGACAGAGUACUCUUACAGUUGGUGAUCGUCCGUUAGAUUCAGAAGAAGGUCAUGCUUCUGAAGCUACAAAUAUGCCAGCUAUUAUAGAUAAAGGAAAUAAUAUGAUUGAUUGCAUGUCCAUCUUUGAAGUAGGAUCAACUUCAGGUACAUGUAAUGCAGGAAUUUCUUCAACUCCAACAGCUACUGCACAUAGAG